rnacentral:rRNA from 1 species
AUUGAACGCUGGCGGCAGGCCUAACACAUGCAAGUCGAACGAGUUGCGGACGGGUGAGUAAUGUCUGGGAAACUGCCUGAUGGCGGGGGAUAACUCCUGGAAACGGUAGCUAAUACCGCAUACCAUCCGAUUUGCCCAGCUGGGAUUAGCUUGUUGGGGGGGUAACGGCUCACCAAGGCGACGAUCCCUAGCUGGUCUAAGAGGAUGACGCGCCACACUGGAACUGAGACACGGUCCAGACUCCUAAGAGAGGCAGCAGUGGGGAAUAUUGAACAAUGGGCGCAAUCCUGAUGCAGCCAUGCCGCGUGUCUGAAGAAGGCCUUCGGGUUGGAAAGUACUUGCAGCGGGGAGGCGUUACCCGCAGAAGAAGCACCGGAUAACUCCGUGCCAGCAGCCGCGGUAAUUC